GUCUCAACCCAGGCCAGGUUGCUGCACUGCAAGCCGAGACAGGGACGGCUGAACUGAACACGGAAGCCUAGCUCUAAUUGGGGCCCCAGCAGCUGAGGUACAUGACGGUCCUCAUCCCCUCCUCCGCCUUGUCCGCCCGCUUCUUCUCCGCCGGCGCCAGCUUCUUCUUGGCCUGCGCGAAGCUGGGAGCGUUGGCCUUGGCGGCCCGGUGGACGGACCGCAGCGCGUAGUUCCAGCGACAGAGCCCCGCCUGGUCCUUGAGCGCCUCCACGGCGCCCACGCUCAUGGCCACCAUCCACGACGCCUUCGCUGCAGCGGCCAUCUUUGUAUCUGCUUCUUGAGCUGGAGCCUAACGCGCCUUGUUUUUGCUACAGAGUGAGAUCUGGUUGUUGCCUUGGUGAAUUGGUGAUCGGUGUAGAUGCUGUGAGUGAGCGAGGUGGGGCGUGGUGGGUUAUAUAUACCGGAGGGAGGACUGCAAACAAGCGGCCGCGGGCGCUGGUUUUCCUGGAUACCGGGGGCUCUCCGCUCUCAUUGCCUUGUUUCCCGGCAGGUCGCUUUCCCCGCACCGGCCCCUUGCUCGGCUCACCUAUCUCGUCGUCUUGUUUAUUCGCCGCAGAAACGGCCGGUCUUCAGUGUCGCGGGCAGAAACGACGAAGAGCGUGCCGCGCAACCGUUUCUGCCACAGCACACGAGCACGAUGCAUCUUCUCUCAAAGCAAGGCUAAUAAUAUAGCCGGCUGCUGGGCUGUAAGGUUUUUUUACAGCUUUUUUACGGUCUACUCAUAUAAUGGUUAGCUCAUCACUAUUAAUAUAUGACUCACUUGUCUGUCUUAUAAAUUUUUUUGGUUUUUGUGUCUGAGCCGGCUGCAAGGCCAGUCUCAGUGGAGGUUUCACCAGGAUGUUAUGCACAUUUAUUAGAGCGCCAUGUCAGCAAAACUGCACUUUUUGCAUGAAACAAAGAGAAGAGAGAAGGAAGUAGUUUCACCAUGGUGAAACUCCGCUGGCGUUGUUUCCCACGCGGUGAAACAGGAUGAAAUCUCCAUUGAGGACUAAAUCGUUUCACCAUCUUGCAUGUGAUCCAAUCAUUUUGCAGUAAUUAAAUGCUUUGCCCAGCUUAGGAAAUAUCAAGAUGGAACUCUGCGUUGUGGAGGUUGUUUCAUUUUUCGUUUCAUUGAUGCUCUGUCAGCAUAUUUGUUUUGGAAACAGUGCAUUGAAACGGGCCAUUGAGACUGACCUAAGUUUACAGGCUGCUUUUACUCUCUCUCCUAUUCUCUCUCUUCCAUCUCAGCAUUUAGUCAGCUUACAGCUUGCUAUAAUACUUGCUCUUACAGUAGUACUGAAAACUGGAGUACAAUUUGGUCUACCAAUUAGGAAGGAAUCAAGCAAAGUAGAUGUUUUUUUUUAUGUUUUAUAUAUCCUACCAAGUGGUGGCCGCCCGUGCGUUGUCAGCGAACAUGAGGGAGGGAGGGAGCUGCCAGAUUUAAGGUCUCACUCGAGUCGUCCAGCAGUCCAGGAAUCUUCUUGCUUUCUUGAUGAAUUUGAGCGGCAUUAAGCUAAUCUGUUUCCACGCACUGAGUCACAUGAGUUAGCUGCAGUUGUUACCGCGUGCUUUUGGAGCAGCAGCGAGAAGAGCCCGACACUCGUUUGGCUUAUAAGCCAUAGCAAAAAAUAUUGUUAGCUGAUUUGUUAUAAAAGAAAAAUAUUAUUGAAUAACUAGCCGAUUGAGAGCGAUUGCUGAUGCCUGAUGCAGUUUAUGUGGAGGGAAAAUGGUAUUUGAACAUAGAUAACGCUCUGCUGUGGUCGUCUGUGAGACUGUGACUCAGCUUCUCAGCAACUAGCUACAUCAACCUGACGUUCAGUACUGGGCUUCAUCCAUCUCGUUUGUCUUCCAUCAACACUUCUCGAGAGCCAAAUGCUAGUUUGGGGGUAUGUCCUCUGUACUUCUUCAGCGGGUUGUUUGGGAGUAGAAAGAACUAGAAACUGUCAAACUGAAAUGGAGACCGUGCUGUUACUUUGCUUCAUCAUAAAGAUAAACGCCGCUAUUUCCCUAAAUAAAACGUUGGAGCUCAGACCUGAGAUUAACUUAACCUCCGAUCAGCAUGAGUUAGACUGUAUAAGCUUUUUUUUCUUAUCAUUAUGCUCUAAAGGGUCAUCAAGUGACGGGGUUCAGAACCUGAGAUUAUCAUCUCAAAUCUGCCUUGAUCGAUUGUUCUACCGUACCGUAGCACAUCGAAGCAAGCAACGAACCACAGAAAGCUAUUGUUGAGUUGUUUUGAGCGCAAAGAGAGAUCGAGGAGAGCACAGUACUCCAAUUACAGAAGGCAGAAGCAUUCAUUCAUAUACUCAGAAUGAAGAAACAGAACUUUUCAUCAUCAUCAUCGUGGUCAUAUUUUUACAACCAGAGGACCGAUCUGGGUUACUGAAAGCUGGAAAAGAGCUAGAGGACCUAAGCAACUAUGCCCAAUAACUAAUUAGGGCCCCAGCAGCUGAGGUACAUGACGGUCCUCAUCCCCUCCUCGGCCUUGUCCGCCCGCCUCCUCUCCGCCGGCGCCAGCUUCUUCUUGGCCUGUGCGAAGCUGGGAGCGUUGGCCUUGGCGGCCUGGUGGAUGGACCGCAGCGCGUAGUUCCAGCGGCAGAGCCCCGCCUGGUCCUUGAGCGCCUCCACGGCGCCCACACUCAUCGCCACCAUCCACGACGCCUUCGCUGCUGCCGCCAUGUCCGUCCUUCUCCUGCUCCUCCUCGGUUCUUGGUGGCUACAGAGUUCGGUUGGUCAGGUGUGCUGCUCGCUGAAUCGCCGAUGACUCACAGUAGGAUGUCAAGUUGUGUGAUGCUGUGUUGUGGUGAGCUGGGAGGCGGGCCGGCGGGGCGAGUUAUAUAGCGGAGGGAGGCCGGCCGCGAGGGGUGGGCCGGCGGAAACAGGUGGCCGCGGACGCUGGUUUCCCUGGAUACCGGGGGCUCCGAUCGCACUCUCCUCCAUGCUUGUCUACGUUACGCCGCAGAGGCGAUCGCUUUCUCGGCACCACACCGGCCCAGUGGGUCACUUGGCUAUCUUGUCUUGUUCCGUGAUGGGAUAACGCAUCUCUGGAUCACUGAAUCUAGUCUGCUUGUGCUUUACAAUUGUCCUUUCGGUUUUUACCAUAUGGCUUAGCUGAUUAUAUUAAACUAAUCCGUUUCUAAUGCAAUGAAGCACAUGGAUUUGCUGCAGAUUUUUUUAUUAUUUAUUUAUUUUACCACAUACUCAUGGAUCACUGAGAGGGACAUUGCGGGAUUGCUGGACGCCAUAGGACAUGGUUUCCAGGAUACCGUGGGCUAUUCCGCUAUUUGCUGAUGCCAUUCGGGCAUGUUUGGUUACGGUCCUACCAGACCACCAAUCAAACACGUCCUUUAUGCGUCUAUAUAGAAAAAAAAAACUAUUUAAACACCACCGUGCUGCGGGCAUGUGGCCUGUGACUGACAGCUUCUCAAUGAACCGUACUUUUACGGAAGCAAUCAAAUUUUACCUGUCUGGCGGUGGUUCAAACAUGAACAACCCCUAACUUCCCUUCUUUCUGCUUCUGUCAUUUACCGACGACUCCCAUGUCGUCCUCUUGCCGUGACAGGGAUGAUAUCACCCUUUUCCCUGUCAUGGACUCGUGUGUCAUUUAGCAACCGCUGAUUAUUGCAAAGUAGAGAGUGCCACACGGAAAUAGAGGCCGUGCUGUUGCUUUGCUUCACCACAAAUCAAGCACAGUUUUUUCCCCCCUAAAAACUUGGACGCCAUGUUCAUGUCUAACUGAAUUCUGUUCAUUAAUGUGGACUAGGUAAAGGUGUGCGAGGUUCGCACGGGUAGGCCUGAAAUGAAGCUUUAAAAAACUGUGCUUGAUCUAUGCUGUCAUUUCCUCCGCUGCUGCGGGUCAUGGUCAUCAAAGUGCAGUGUUCAGAAUAUGAGGUUAUCAUCUCAUAGCAUUUGAGUGAUUGUCGCUGCUUUAAUUAGCACACCGAAGCAUCGAAUUCGAAUCCCCACGAACUCUUGUCAGCGCAGAGGAUUCGUAGAAAGCACAACAACAAGCAUUAGGCAACAGAAGCAUCCAUAUACUUGGAUGAACUGACAGAACUUUUCACCAUCAUCAUUUGCUCUUCUAUAUUUACAGUCAGGAGGACGAAUCGGCCGCCAAGCUCGCUCAUCUGCUGAAACCUCAAAGCUGGAACAGAGCAAGAGGACCUAAGAGGCUAAGACCUAUGACGACUAAUUAGGGCCCCAGCAGCUGAGGUACAUGACCGUCCUCAACCCCUCCUCCGCGGCCUUGUCCGCCCGCCUCCUCUCCGCCGGCGCCGGCGCCAGCUUCUUGGCCUGCGCGAAGCUGGGAGCGUUGGCCUUGGCGGCCUGGUGGAUGGACCGCAGCGCGUAGUUCCAGCGGCAGAGCCCCGCCUGGUCCUUGAGCGCCUCCACGGCGCCCACGCUCAUCGCCA
rnacentral:lncRNA from 1 species